AUUGAACGCUGGCGGCAGGCUUAACACAUGCAAGUCGAGCGGAGCGAGGGUGCUUGCACCUUAGCUUAGCGGCGGACGGGUGAGUAAUGCUUAGGAAUCUGCCUAUUAGUGGGGGACAACAUUCCGAAAGGAAUGCUAAUACCGCAUACGCCCUACGGGGGAAAGCAGGGGAUCUUCGGACCUUGCGCUAAUAGAUGAGCCUAAGUCGGAUUAGCUAGUUGGUGGGGUAAAGGCCUACCAAGGCGACGAUCUGUAGCGGGUCUGAGAGGAUGAACCGCCACACUGGGACUGGAACACGGCCCAGACUCCUACGGGAGGCAGCAGUGGGGAAUAUUGGACAAUGGGCGGAAGCCUUAUCCAGCCAUGCCGCGUGUGUGAAGAAGGCCUUUUGGUUGUAAAGCACUUUAAGUGAGGAGGAGGCUACUUAGAUUAAUACUCUGGGAUAGUGGACGUUACUCGCAGAAUAAGCACCGGCUAACUCUGUGCCAGCCGCCGCCGUAA
rnacentral:rRNA from 1 species